UACGUAGGGUGCAAGCGUUAAUCGGAAUUACUGGGCGUAAAGCGUGCGCAGGCGGUUUUGCAAGUCAGAUGUGAAAUCCCCGGGCUUAACCUGGGAACCGCAUUUGUGACUGCAUAGCUGGAGUACGGCAGAGGGGGAUGGAAUUCCGCGUGUAGCAGUGAAAUGCGUAGAUAUGCGGAGGAACACCGAUGGCGAAGGCAGUCCCCUGGGCCUGUACUGACGCUCAUGCACGAAAGCGUGGGGAGCAAACAGG
rnacentral:rRNA from 1 species